GACGAACGCUGGCGGCGUGCUUAACACAUGCAAGUCGAACGGAAAGGCCCCUUUGGGGGUACUCGAGUGGCGAACGGGGGAGUAACACGUGAGUAACCUGCCCUUGACUUCGGGAUAACUUCAGGAAACUGGGGCUAAUACCGGAUAGGAAUCCUUGCUGCAUGGUGGGGGUUGGAAAGCUUCGGCGGUUUUGGAUGGACUCGCGGCUUAUCAGCUUGCUGGUGUGGUAGUGGCUUACCAAGGCUUUUACGGGUAGCCGGCCUGAGGGGGCGACCGGCCACAUUGGGACUGAGAUACGGCCCAGGCUCCUACGGGAGGCAACAGGGGGGAAUAUUGCCCAAUGGGCGGAAGCCUGAUGCAGCAACGCCGCGGGCGGGAUGACGGCCUUCGGGUUGUAAACCGCUUUCAGCAGGGGCGAAGCUUGUGGUGACGGUACCUGCAGAAGAAGCACCGGCUAACUACGUG
rnacentral:rRNA from 1 species